UUUAUAUGAGAGUUUGAUCCUGGCUCAGGAUGAACGCCGGCGGUGUGCCUAAUACAUGCAAGUCGAACGCGUUGGCCCAAUUGAUUGAUGGUGCUUGCACCUGAUUGAUUUUGGUUGCCAGCGAGUGGCGGACGGGUGAGUAACACGUAGGUAACCUGCCCAGAAGUGGGGGACAACAUUUGGAAACAGAUGCUAAUACCGCAUAACAGCGUUGUUCGCAUGAACAACGCUUAAAAGAUGGCUUCUCGCUAUCACUUCUGGAUGGACCUGCGGUGCAUUAGCUUGUUGGUGGGGUAACGGCCUACCAAGGCGAUGAUGCAUAGCCGAGUUGAGAGACUGAUCGGCCACAAUGGGACUGAGACACGGCCCAUACUCCUACGGGAGGCAGCAGUAGGGAAUCUUCCACAAUGGGCGCAAGCCUGAUGGAGCAACACCGCGUGAGUGAAGAAGGGUUUCGGCUCGUAAAGCUCUGUUGUUAAAGAAGAACACGUAUGAGAGUAACUGUUCAUACGUUGACGGUAUUUAACCAGAAAGUCACGGCUAACUACGUGCCAGCAGCCGCGGUAAUACGUAGGUGGCAAGCGUUAUCCGGAUUUAUUGGGCGUAAAGAGAGUGCAGGCGGUUUUCUAAGUCUGAUGUGAAAGCCUUCGGCUUAACCGGAGAAGUGCAUCGGAAACUGGAUAACUUGAGUGCAGAAGAGGGUAGUGGAACUCCAUGUGUAGCGGUGGAAUGCGUAGAUAUAUGGAAGAACACCAGUGGCGAAGGCGGCUACCUGGUCUGCAACUGACGCUGAGACUCGAAAGCAUGGGUAGCGAACAGGAUUAGAUACCCUGGUAGUCCAUGCCGUAAACGAUGAGUGCUAGGUGUUGGAGGGUUUCCGCCCUUCAGUGCCGGAGCUAACGCAUUAAGCACUCCGCCUGGGGAGUACGACCGCAAGGUUGAAACUCAAAGGAAUUGACGGGGGCCCGCACAAGCGGUGGAGCAUGUGGUUUAAUUCGAAGCUACGCGAAGAACCUUACCAGGUCUUGACAUCUUGCGCCAACCCUAGAGAUAGGGCGUUUCCUUCGGGAACGCAAUGACAGGUGGUGCAUGGUCGUCGUCAGCUCGUGUCGUGAGAUGUUGGGUUAAGUCCCGCAACGAGCGCAACCCUUGUUACUAGUUGCCAGCAUUAAGUUGGGCACUCUAGUGAGACUGCCGGUGACAAACCGGAGGAAGGUGGGGACGACGUCAGAUCAUCAUGCCCCUUAUGACCUGGGCUACACACGUGCUACAAUGGACGGUACAACGAGUCGCGAACUCGCGAGGGCAAGCAAAUCUCUUAAAACCGUUCUCAGUUCGGACUGCAGGCUGCAACUCGCCUGCACGAAGUCGGAAUCGCUAGUAAUCGCGGAUCAGCAUGCCGCGGUGAAUACGUUCCCGGGCCUUGUACACACCGCCCGUCACACCAUGAGAGUUUGUAACACCCAAAGUCGGUGGGGUAACCUUUUAGGAGCCAGCCGCCUAAGGUGGGACAGAUGAUUAGGGUGAAGUCGUAACAAGGUAGCCGUAGGAGAACCUGCGGCUGGAUCACCUCCUUUCUA
rnacentral:rRNA from 1 species